rnacentral:rRNA from 1 species
CACGUAGGGCGCAAGCGUUGUCCGGAAUUAUUGGGCGUAAAGAGCUCGUAGGUGGUCUGUUGCGUCCGCUGUGAAAACUCGGGGCUUAACCCCGAGCCUGCAGUGGAUACGGGCAGACUAGAGGUAGGUAGGGGAGAACGGAAUUCCUGGUGUAGCGGUGAAAUGCGCAGAUAUCAGGAGGAACACCGGUGGCGAAGGCGGUUCUCUGGGCCUGUACUGACGCUGAGGAGCGAAAGCGUGGGGAGCGAACAGG